rnacentral:rRNA from 2 species
UGGGGAAUAUUGCACAAUGGGCGGAAGCCUGAUGCAGCGACGCCGCGUGGGGGAUGAAGGCCUUCGGGUUGUAAACUCCUUUCGACAGGGACGAAGCUUUUGUGACGGUACCUGUAUAAGAAGCACCGGCUAACUACGUGCCAGCAGCCGCGGUAAUACGUAGGGUGCGAGCGUUGUCCGGAAUUACUGGGCGUAAAGAGCUCGUAGGUGGGUUGUCGCGUCGUCUGUGAAAUUCCGGGGCUUAACUCCGGGCGUGCAGGCGAUACGGGCUGACUUGAGUGCUGUAGGGGAGACUGGAAUUCCUGGUGUAGCGGUGAAAUGCGCAGAUAUCAGGAGGAACACCGAUGGCGAAGGCAGGUCUCUGGGCAGUAACUGACGCUGAGGAGCGAAAGCAUGGGUAGCGAACAGG